CGGGACUGGCGGCGUGCUAAUACAUGCAAGUCGAGCGAACAGAGAAGGAGCUUGCUCCUUUGACGUUAGCGGCGGACGGGUGAGUAACACGUGGGCAACCUACCCUAUAGUUUGGGAUAACUCCGGGAAACCGGGGCUAAUACCGAAUAAUCUAUUGUCCCUCAUGGGACAAUACUGAAAGACGGUCUCGGCUGUCGCUAUAGGAUGGGCCCGCGGCGCAUUAGCUAGUUGGUGAGGUAACGGCUCACCAAGGCGACGAUGCGUAGCCGACCUGAGAGGGUGAUCGGCCACACUGGGACUGAGACACGGCCCAGACUCCUACGGGAGGCAGCAGUAGGGAAUCUUCCACAAUGGGCGAAAGCCUGAUGGAGCAACGCCGCGUGAGUGAAGAAGGAUUUCGGUUCGUAAAACUCUGUUGUAAGGGAAGAACAAGUACAGUAGUAACUGGCUGUACCUUGACGGUACCUUAUUAGAAAGCCACGGCUAACUACGUGCCAGCAGCCGCGGUAAUACGUAGGUGGCAAGCGUUGUCCGGAAUUAUUGGGCGUAAAGCGCGCGCAGGUGGUUUCUUAAGUCUGAUGUGAAAGCCCACGGCUCAACCGUGGAGGGUCAUUGGAAACUGGGAGACUUGAGUGCAGAAGAGGAUAGUGGAAUUCCAAGUGUAGCGGUGAAAUGCGUAGAGAUUUGGAGGAACACCAGUGGCGAAGGCGACUAUCUGGUCUGUAACUGACACUGAGGCGCGAAAGCGUG
rnacentral:rRNA from 1 species